AGUCGAGCGGACAGAUGGGAGCUUGCUCCCUGAUGUUAGCGGCGGACGGGUGAGUAACACGUGGGUAACCUGCCUGUAAGACUGGGAUAACUCCGGGAAACCGGGGCUAAUACCGGAUGGUUGUUUGAACCGCAUGGUUCAGACAUAAAAGGUGGCUUCGGCUACCACUUACAGAUGGACCCGCGGCGCAUUAGCUAGUUGGUGAGGUAACGGCUCACCAAGGCGACGAUGCGUAGCCGACCUGAGAGGGUGAUCGGCCACACUGGGACUGAGACACGGCCCAGACUCCUACGGGAGGCAGCAGUAGGGAAUCUUCCGCAAUGGACGAAAGUCUGACGGAGCAACGCCGCGUGAGUGAUGAAGGUUUUCGGAUCGUAAAGCUCUGUUGUUAGGGAAGAACAAGUGCCGUUCAAAUAGGGCGGCACCUUGACGGUACCUAACCAGAAAGCCACGGCUAACUACGUGCCAGCAGCCGCGGUAAUACGUAGGUGGCAAGCGUUGUCCGGAAUUAUUGGGCGUAAAGGGCUCGCAGGCGGUUUCUUAAGUCUGAUGUGAAAGCCCCCGGCUCAACCGGGGAGGGUCAUUGGAAACUGGGGAACUUGAGUGCAGAAGAGGAGAGUGGAAUUCCACGUGUAGCGGUGAAAUGCGUAGAGAUGUGGAGGAACCGUGGCGAAGGCGACUCUCUGGUCUGUAACUGACGCUGAGGAGCGAAAGCGUGGGGAGCGAACAGGAUUAGAUACCCUGGUAGUCCACGCCGUAAACGAUGAGUGCUAAGUGUUAGGGGGGUUUCCGCCCCUUAGUGCUGCAGCUAACGCAUUAAGCACUCCGCCUGGGGAGUACGGUCGCAAGACUGAAACUCAAAGGAAUUGACGGGGGCGCACAAGCGGUGGGAGCAUGUGGUUUAAUUUCGAAGC
rnacentral:rRNA from 1 species